ensembl:lncRNA
GCCUAUGUGGUCUGAGAGCUUGGGAUCCACUGUUCUUUUCCCAGACGGUGGGUUUUUGAAUGUCAGUUCAGAAAAUAUAUCCAGUUGCGGCUCCAAAUAUAUACUGACAGUGAAACAUAACUCAUCCAGUAUUUGUGCAGUGAAAGAGUGAGAGAAUACCAAGAGAUGCUCAUAUUCUGUCCAUCAGACAAAAUACAUUUCACUCUUUGUGGAUUGGAGUAUUGCCUGACUGUUAUUUUGAACUUGUGUUUCUGCUUGUGAACACUAACAAUAUAACUAUGAUGCUCUCUCUGUUGGCAAGCUCAUACCUGUGAACGUUUCUAGAGCUAAAUCAAUCUUAGAUGUGCACAGCAAUUUCUAUAAUUAGGUCAUUUAAAUGCACCUUUCCCUUCAGCAACAAAAAUAUACAGGUCCUUAAACUUCCCUCUCAAAGUUAAGCAAUGAGGCUUUACAAAAUAUUCUUGUUCUUGUCUUUUUAGGAUCAGUCCAAACUGAAGUCUAUACCUACCUUUAAAAUGAGCACCAAUAUCUUUUGUCAAAGCUGGACAGCCAGCAGUGUUACCUAGAGACCCCUUUCUGUGAAAACCAUCCAGUACACAAUACAGUGGAUAGGAGUCAGGCUGUGUUACCUAGAGACCCCUUUCUGUGAAAACCAUCCAGUACACAAUACAGUAGAUAGGAGUCAGGCUGUGUUACCUAGAGACCCCUUUCUGUGAAAACCAUCCAGUACACAAUACAGUGGAUAGGAGUCAGGCAGUGUUACCUAGAGACCCCUUUCUGUGAAAACCAUCCAGUACACAAUACAGUAGAUAGGAGUCAGGCAGUGUUACCUAGAGACCCCUUUCUGUGAAAACCAUCCAGUACACAAUACAGUGGAUAGGAGUCAGGCUGUGUUAUACAUCUGAAAGUGGUUAUGUUUAAGCUGCUUGGCCCUGUGUGCUCUGUCCAAUAAAGUUGUUGGAGAUUAUAAAUAACUUUUUAAGGAACUGUAAUGGGAUUAUGUCAGCUUUAAAACAACCUUUAUUACCACCUCACUCUCACCCAGUGCUUUCUCUUCUCACCACUACAGGUUUCAACACCAACACAACACCAAGACAACAACUCUCACCAACCAGGUCACUUUAGAUAUGGCUUAUUGAGGAGUGACUCAAUAGGCUGACACCUUUGAUUGUCAGCUAAUAAUCUUCUCUAAUGCACCUACACACAUGAACUCAGAUCCUUCCAGUUAAUGAUAGAGGUUUCUAGGCUGCCGCAAGUCUCCUCAAUCAAGUCCUUCUUCCCUUCAGAUACAGUAAGUUUUUCCAGAAACUAAUUUGUAAUCCUGCUUUGAAAGCAACCUCACCUUAUUCUCCCCUGUAAUCAACAACUAAAAUAUCUCCAACCUGUCACUCACUAGCCACUCAGUCGUUUUAGUAUUCACUCAUAGAAGUUUGAUCUUGAAUGUACAGUCCACAGGGGUGUUCAGCUUUCAGUCCCUCUGAGACCCAGCAGAAAGAGCAGGGGGUCCGUUCACACAUGUCGUCUCCACUAAAGCGCUUUAUCUGCGUGUGGCACCAGACAGUCCAUGGGACAUCCUGUCACUUCGCUCCCCUCUCACCGGGACUGUUGUCCUCUUUUAUCCUUUGUUGUAGAAUUCAGCACAUUUACCACAGGCCCGGGACACCAGGCAUUUAGGGACAAUGAAACACUAUACAAAAGGGAUAAUGCUUCUUUAAAAAAAAAGGCAAUACACUAAAGUGCAGUAAUCCGUGCGACUGUUGUGUCUGUGUCUUGGAAGAAAAGGAGCUCCUCUGGGAUUGGCCGUGUCCUGGAUUAGCUUCUAAUCCCUCUCUCCAUUCCUCUCUCUCCUCUCUCGUUCUCUGCCUCCCACAAUCCAGAUAGUGUUUUGAGAUACAGGUAAGUGGCUCCUCUCUCCUUCUCUGCCUCCCACAAUCCAGAUAGUGUUUUGAGAUACAG